rnacentral:lncRNA from 1 species
GUUCAGGGAGGGAAAUCUUCUCUUGGUCUCCGUCACAGCAAGGUGAACUCGCUGCCAUCUAGGGACAGGGGAGACUUAAACGGUUCCCGAGGAUUUCGUGAUUCAGAGAGCUGCAGCCAUGGGACCUGAAAGUGUUUCCUGCUCCCUGUGUUUGGAACAGCUGAAAAGGUCGGAGCAGCCCUGCCCUCAGGGUGUCCUUCAGGAGCGGACUCCCCCGGGGCCCUCGUGUGGCUGCAGAGCCCCUGAGCCAGAGGGCCUUUGUUUCUGGGCAAGAUGUGGUUCUCUGGGUUUCCACUUCUUGGGGUCCACCCCCAGGCUCCCUCUCCUGGGCUCCUGCCACACACAGGCCGUCUGCGCUGCUUGCCCCAUCUGAAUGGCCACCAGCCAUGGGGCGGUGUUGGCCAAGUGCCCACCACGCAGGGGGCCUGGCUGGGCGGGCAGCAGCCUCGAGGCCUCUCGGCAGUGCAGGUGUAGACAUGAGGCCUGGUGGGAGGGUCACCUAGGGCUGGAUCAGGGAGGACACUGGCCCAGGGGACAGCAGUGUCACCUCCCUCUGCACACAGCCAGCCAGGGCUCCAACCCCUGCACUUCCCAGAUGGUGAGAACGAGGCUCGGCCUCCUGCAGGCGCCAGCAGGGGCACCUCCUGGCCUUCCCAGCCUCACCCCUCCUUUGGCCAGGUUUUCAUUUCUGUCCCCAGCCCCAGGCCCAGCGGCCACACCCCAGCUGACUCUUCCCCAGACUCUCCUGCGGCACCCGGACCUGCAUGGGGGCCCCAGGCCAUCAGACCUGCUCUGCCUCCCCCCAAGCUUCCUCCUUCCCGCCUGUGAGCUGGCCCCCAGCACCUGUCCACCACCAGCAGGCAGGCCCUGCUCCCUGAGACCCCCGCUGUCCCCACCUGCUCUCAGAACCACCUGCCUCUGGUCUCCACCUGCUGCCCACGCUCGGGUCCCUCCC